UAAAAUUCAUGUUACCUUCAUGAUUAGCCUCGUUGGUCAUUCUUUACCAACCAUGAUUAGCUCUCGAUUUCUACUACAAAACUAUGUUAACCAGUUCUAGCAAAAUUGAACUGAUUGCCUGAGAGAUGUAGACCCUUUUAUUAUGUGUUUUUAUUUGGUUGAAUGAUGUUUGUUGAAUAAUACCAUGAUUUCUUUCCCAUUUUCCUUUCCUUCCUACCUCAAUGCCUCCAUCCUUAUUCACGUGGUCGAACCCUGAGAGCCUCUAGUUUGUCAGAUCCAGGCCUUUAAAUCACGUAAAUUGGUUAUGUGUUAGAAUCCACCCUAGUAACACCAUACCAACCCUUUGAAUACAGCUUCGAGCAAUAGAAAGUAUCAUUGGUAGCAAGGAGUCCUUAUUCUCUCCGCCUUUUUUUGUGAAAUCAGUUUUCUGGUUUUGUCAUUUGUGCAGUUUAUAGUACCAACCAUCAGUUCGGCCAAGUCUGCUUCUAGUCCACAAAUUAU
rnacentral:lncRNA from 1 species